rnacentral:rRNA from 1 species
AGUAGGAGGAGGCGCCGGCGUGGCCGAGUCGUAGGCGUCGGUGGCCGCGUCGUCCUACCAGUCUUCCUUGCCGCCUACCUCAGCGAGCCCACCGACUGCCUCAGGUGCCACUACGGCUUCUUCGUGUUCCGGUAGCUCCCACAGCCGCGCCGUAGGUAUGAGCUGGAGUUCCGGGUCGAGAUGGCGUGAGUCCUCCUUCGGGCGUUAAGGUGACGGCGACUGCGACGGAGGUCGCUCAAGGCGGCGCGGUUCUUUGCGAGGCCGGGGCGGCUAGGGGAGCCGCGGUUCUUGAGUCCGCAUCUGCGUGCACGGGUGUUUCUAUUCGACCUCGACUUUCGACACUUUCUACCAUGACGUACAAUAAGACGGGAUCUUUUCUUCCGACUCGACAUACUCUUUAAUAGGUCCCCACUCGAUGGACUACUUCUUCUGGUCCUCUUUAUAACGCAACUAAAGAAGGUCUUUUCAAAAGUAGUUCAGUCGCUCGCGGCCGUCGGUCUCUGACGAUGACGCAGACUCGUACAUCUUGUUCUUUUACUCUCACAGCUAAGAUACGGUUUAGGGUUCGGUUACCCGGAACCUGCUUGACCAUGUUGUCAACUGGUUCUACUCGUGUUUGCGAAACAGUCCCUCCAAGUGCUGCUUCAUUCAGUUCGUUCCGUCUUCCGAAGUUGCUACUUUGUGGCCGCUGUUCUCGUCCUCAGCCGAGCAUCUCUCUUUGAGUCCGUUCGAAAGGAGUUCUUCGCGGAACUAUUCAACUACCGACUUUUCGUCCGUAGAAGCCGGUCACUACUGGUUGGUCAAUCGAUCAGCUCCAAAACAUACAGAACGUGAACACGGGUCCACCGUCAACAACAUCAAGUACGCUAGUGCCAAGUACGUUGACGUUUACUCUUCUAAACAGAACAAACACUAAGGGAACUAGACCGCUUUAGUUUAAGUCUUUUACCAGAAACGUACAUGUCAGUGCGUUACAUCUCCAUUAAACUUAGAAUGUGACUGCUCCACAGAACUAGGAGCUGACUAAACGACCCGCAACCCGUCUAAGGACGUUGGAAAAAAAAAGACGAAAAUCUACGAAGAGCAGCUCCGGCUCGUAUACUGACGGUAGAGGUAGAAUUCAACCGCUUAGCACACGCGGGUUGAGACCGACAUUAGGUGGUCAAGAUUAAGUCGUACCAUGUCUCUCCUCUUUCUUCGUACAAGGUACGAUGAGACCAACCUACUACCUUAUUUCUGGCUACUAUUUUUCAAAGCGGCGCGAAAGGCACUAAGAAAAGUCGAACUUUGUUUGAUAAGAGCGCCUUCGAAUUGGUAAGGGAGGGAAUGUAGACUCGUCUCGUCCGCUUUUCCGUCGUGACGCACCGAGCGCUGAACUGCCACCUCCUUGCUAGUUACCGGUUCGGCCGAGGCUGAUUCUUGCGGCCGCUGCGUCGUUGCCGCCACCACGGUCACGGCUCAGGCAAGCUCAUGGUACAGAUACCGGGGGCGUUCGACAGGAAGUGGUCGACCUCUCUAGAAGAAUCGAGUUCGACCUUCUUGGGACUGAUGGCCGCCUACCACUAGCGCACGAAGUAGGUCCCCCGCAUGGACGACCUCGACCUGGCCGUCCUCUUCGCCCUGCUCGCGUGGUCGGAGCGCGGCGUCACCACCGCGGGCAAGUUCAUGUCCGACCAGGUCCGCGAGCAGCUGCUCGCGCUGCCGAGGUAGAUGCCGCGGCAGGAGCUCACCCUGGCGGUCCGGCGCGAGAGCCUGAUGUAGGGCAAGGCCGGGUGGGCGCGCGGGCGGCGGCAGCACCGCGACGCGCCGUGCGACGAGUUCCGCGGGUGCAAGGCGGCGCUGCAGCAGCUGCUGGAGGCGAAGGACCGGACCCUGUCGGAGUUCCCGAGGCACGCGAAGCGGCCGCGCGACCGCCGCGACGCCCGCCGGCGCGCGUUCAAGCCGCAGCGGUUGCACACGCACCCGCCCGUGAGCGACCCGCGGCCCAAGCGCGACGUCCACCCGUUCCGCGACCGGUUCCUCCCGCAGAAGCACCUCACGGUGCACAAGUUGGGCGGCAGGCACAGCGACCAGUACUCGGAGUUCCCGAAGCGGCUCUGCCGGCCGCUCGACACCCCGGCGCACGCGCGAACCUAUGGGAUGUACCCGUGGGUUCGGCCGCCCCUGCGCCCGCCGCCGUCGUUGUCGCUCUCGCUCCGGUUCCGCAGCGACCGCGCGCGGCCCUACCGGUUCACCGACGGCGUGGAGAUGUAAUUGUGGUUGCUGAUGUAGACGACGAUGAUGUCGCUGCGGCGCUCGCCCUGCCGGUGGCACCGGCAGCCGUCGCCCCCGCCCUCGCCGUGAUCGUUCCGGCCGCACCGCUCCUACCACCAACAAAGGUUCCCCGGCUCGUUCAAGGACCGGCGCGUGCCCGACCUCGUCACCACCCGACUGCUACAGCUCGACGUCCACCGCGAGUUGGUGUCGUUUGAGCAGCUGGCGGUCGAGUCCAGCGAGAUGCGGGGCGGUGGUCGGCGUGGUCGGCGAGCCUCAAUCCGUGCACACGGUACCAUGAUAACUGAAUAAU